AUUCUACUCCCUCCGUUGCACAAUACAUGCCUUCUAUUUGUCAAAAUAUAUAUGUAUCUAAACAUGUCUUAGUAUAUAGGUACAUCCAUUUUUGGACAAAUGGAAGUCAAGUAUUUUGGAACGGAGGGAGUACACA
rfam:Triticum aestivum genome assembly, contig: Triticum_aestivum_CS42_TGACv1_scaffold_293908_4AL